rnacentral:rRNA from 1 species
AACGGCCAUACCAUGCUGAAUAUACCGGUUCUCGUUAGAUCACCGAAGUCAAGCAUCACUGGGCGUGGUCAGUACUUGGGUGGGUGACCACCUGGGAACACCGCGUGCCGUU